GUUAAAUAGCCGCUGUAUUUUGACUGUUCGAAGGUACCAUAAUCAUUUGUCUUUUAAUUGAAGGCUUGUAUGAAUGGUUGGAUGAGGGGAUUACUUUCUUUAUAUUAAUAUUUGAAUUUAAUUUUUAGGUUAAAAAGCUUAAAUUUAUAAAUGGGACGAGAAGACCCUGUAGAAUUUUAUUUUAGGUAGGAUAUUAUUAUUUUGGUAAUUAAAUAUCAUUAUUAUAGUUAAGAUUUUGUGGGGGUGCCAGUAAGAUUUUAUAAACUUUUAUAAUUUAUUUAAUGUAUAUUAGCAUAUUAAGGAUCCUAUGUUAAGGAUAUUUAGAUCAAAUUACCUCAGGGAUAACAGCGUAAUUUCUUUGGAGAGUUCUUAUCGAUAAAGAAGUUUGCGACCUCGAUGUUGGAUUAAAAUAAAAUUUAAAGGCAGAAGCUUAAU
rnacentral:rRNA from 1 species